rnacentral:rRNA from 1 species
CCUACGGGUGGCAGCAGUGGGGGAUAUUGCACAAUGGGGGAAACCCUGAUGCAGCGACGCCGCGUGGGUGAAGAAGCGCCUCGGCACGGAAAGCCCUGUCAGCCGGGAAGAAAAUGACGGUACCUGAAGAAGAAGCCCCGGCUAACUACGUGCCAGCAGCCGCGGUAAUACGGAGGGGGGAAGCGGUAUCCCGAUGUACUGGGUGUAAAGGGGGCGCAGACGGCGCUGCAAGCCAGGAGGGAAAGCCCGGGGCCCAACCCCGGGACUGCCCUUGGAACUGCGUGGCUAGAGUGCAGGAGGGGCAGGCGGAAUGCGUGGUGUAGCGGUGAAAUGCGUAGAUAUCAGGAGGAACACCGGUGGCGAAGGCGGCAUGCUGGACUGCAACUGACGUUGAGGCCCGAAAGCGUGGGGAGCAAACAGGAUUAGAUACCCUGGUAGUC